GAGGAAUAUUGGUCAAUGGGCGCAAGCCUGAACCAGCCAUGCCGCGUGCAGGAUGAAGCAUCUAUGGUGUGUAAACUGCUUUUGUACGGGAAGAAACACCUCUUCGUGAAGAGGCUUGACGGUACCGUAAGAAUAAGGAUCGGCUAACUCCGUGCCAGCAGCCGCGGUAAUACGGAGGAUCCAAGCGUUAUCCGGAAUCAUUGGGUUUAAAGGGUCCGUAGGCGGUUUUGUAAGUCAGUGGUGAAAUCCGGCAGCUCAACUGUCGAACUGCCAUUGAUACUGCAGGACUUGAAUUAUUGUGAAGUAACUAGAAUAUGUAGUGUAGCGGUGAAAUGCUUAGAUAUUACAUGGAAUACCAAUUGCGAAGGCAGGUUACUAACAAUACAUUGACGCUGAUGGACGAAAGCGUGGGGAGCGAAC
rnacentral:rRNA from 1 species